rnacentral:rRNA from 1 species
CGCCUGUUUAUCAAAAACAUCACCUCUAGCAUCACCAGUAUUAGAGGCACCGCCUGCCCAGUGACACAUGUUUAACGGCCGCGGUACCCUAACCGUGCAAAGGUAGCAUAAUCUCGCCUGUUUAUCAAAAACAUAGCCAUUAGACGAUAUUUAUGGUUAAACCUGCCCAAUGUUUAAUAAUGAAUGGCCGCGGUACCCUGACCGUGCUAAGGUAGCGUAAUCAGUUGGCUUUUAAAUGGAGUCAGGAAUGAAUGGGAAAACCGGGUUUAGCUGUCUCUUAAUUAUUAUUUUGAAUUUACUAUUUAAGUGAGAAAGCUUAAUUUUGGAAAAGGGACGAGAAGACCCUUAGAAUUUUUUUUAAAUAGUUUUAAUUUAACUUUAUGAUUUUAUUGGGGCGAUAAAGAAAUAGUUAAAACUUUCUGUAAAUACAAGCCGAUUGUGUUAAGUAAGAAUAAAUUACCUGAGGGAUAACAGCAUAAUUCUAUAGUUGAGUUUGUGACCUCGAUGUUGGACUAGGAGACUAGCAGGCUAGCCGUUUGUUGAGUUGGUUCUGUUCGAACUUUAAUUCCUACGUGAUCUGAGUUCAGACCGGAUAGGGUUUACGACCUCGAUGUUGGAUCAGGACAUCCCGAUGGUGCAGCCGCUAUUAAAGGUUCGUUUGUUCAACGAUUAAAGUCCU